rnacentral:tRNA from 1 species
GGAAGCGUGGCCGAGUGGCCUAUGGCGCCGUCCUGCUAAGGCGGUGGGGGUGACACCCUCGCGCGUUCGAAUCGCGCCGCUUCCG